CGUGGUUCUCGGGUGAUGCGCACUGGAAUCGGGCUUCCUCCUCUCUGGUUCCGGGUGUGUCACCCAAGAACCACA
rfam:Myotis davidii contig90657, whole genome shotgun sequence.